rnacentral:rRNA from 1 species
GCAAGUCGAGCGCUUUCCUUCGGGAAGGAGCGGCGGACGGGUUAGUAACGCGUGGGAACAUACCCUUUUCUAUGGAAUAGCCUCGGGAAACUGAGAGUAAUACCAUAUAAGCCCUUCGGGGGAAAGAUUUAUCGGGAAAGGAUUGGCCCGCGUUAGAUUAGAUAGUUGGUGGGGUAAUGGCCUACCAAGACUACGAUCUAUAGCUGGUUUGAGAGGAUGAUC